UGCUCAUCCAGAGGGGCAGAGGGAUCGGCCCGAAGAAGCCCCGGCAACCGGCGUUCACCGUUCAGGUGGCGAUCACGGUGCCAAUUCCGACCGGUGAAAGCCGGAAAGAUGAGGA
rnacentral:ncRNA from 2 species